CACUGCAGUACCGCCGUUGAAG
rnacentral:miRNA from 1 species